GUGACCGGGGCCCUUGGCGCGGAGACUUUGCUGGAGGAGAACCUGAAGGACCUGGACGAGUGCUACAACGUCCGCCGCGACAGGGACGGCGUGCAGAAGCCGCGGGUGCCACCCUGAACCCAGCGAGCCCUGAUCCGCAGCCAGGAUCCGGGCGACCCGAAGAUCCAGAUCGUGAGCCAGAGGGUGGGGCUGGUGGAGAGCCGCACGCGACAGGUGGACAGCCACGUGGAGCCGUUCGAGGCGCAGCAGGAGCAGGGCGACGCGGCGGGCGACAGCGUAGGGUCGGCCGGUACCGGCCCAGAGGCGAGGCGACCGCGCAGGCGGAGAAACCCAACAGGAAAGCGCUCCUGGCGGCAGCACAACAACGAGAACCGCGAGAACGCGUCCAACAACCGCGACCACAACGUCACCUCGGCCACGCCCAAGGAAAUGAAAGCCGAGACCUCCAAGAAGAAGCAGCGCUCCUUGGCCAAGACGUAGCGGCAGGCGUCCCCCGCGGACUUCCCCAUCGAUUCCAGCGAGCCCUCCUACUGGGAGAUGAUCCGCUGCGACAACGAGUGCCCUAUCGGGUGGUUCCACUUCUCGUGCAUGGGUCUCAGCGAUAAACCAAAGCGCAAGUGGUACUGUCCCAGAUGCCGGGGAUCGGGGGGAAACGAUGGACAAAGCCCUUGGGAAGUCCAAAAACACAGGGCUUACAACAGAUAGCUUGGGGACAUGCAUGUAAUAGUGAGGAGAACAAAAUAAACCAAUGUAUUGAUUGAAUUGCCACCUUUGUUGAGGUGCAGGGAGUGUAAAAUGUAUAUUUUUAAAGAAUGUUAGAAAAGGAGCCAUUCCUUUCAUAGGGAUGGCAGUGAUUCUCUUUGCCUUUUGUUUUCAUUGGCAGACAUGUGUAACAACAAAAUGGUCUGUGAUCAACAUUUUAGAAACUACAAAUAUAGGUUUGAAUUAAACACUUUAAAAAGAAUGCCAUUAAAGAAAUAAUGUCAAUACAGAACGUGCUGCCACCUUCACAAGACUGGAAAACAGGUCGGAACUAAUGUCAUAUCCCAGAUGCUUUCUUUCCUCCAUACACACCUGAGCCUGUGUUUCUCACUGUUUGCUUUUCUUAGAGCCCUUUCCACUAUGACCACUGGAACCCCUGCUCAAUGAGAAACAAACUCCCGUACAUCCUGGCUUUCUUCACUGAACUUUGCCCUCUAGCUCCUGCCUUGACUGGACUGGGCUCUCUCCCGAGGCUCCUGCUUCCCCACAGCCUGCUCCAGGCUUUCUCCCUCGAUUUCUGCCUGUGAAAAAGAUGGGCUGGCUGGUCGGAGUGCAGUGGUGUUGACAACUAAUUGAUCACAACCAGUUACAUAUUUCUUUGUUCCUUCUCCACUUA